rnacentral:lncRNA from 1 species
AGUGAUUGGAUGUGUUUCGAGCUUUUCCACACUUGGUGGAGGGUCGUAGAAUGUUUUCCGACCUGAAAAGUUCGAAAACUGGAAUUCUGGAUGAAUCCCGAGAGUUUUACUCUCGGGGACCGGUCCCUGGAAGGAGAGACCGGUCCCCCAGUGAGCAGUGCUGCGCAGCCGGCGAGGCAACCGGUCCCUGGCAGUCGAGACCGGUCCCCGAGCGCGUCUGCGCAGGGAGAGACCGGUCCCGCGCAGGGAGAGACCGGUUCCCGAACGCUGAUUUUUCGGGUUCGACACGAGAGAACGGUCCCUUGCAGGGAGAGACCGGUCCCUCUGGGCGAAAACUGCCCAGACCGGGCUGAGGUAAUAUUGGUUUUUUGAGGGGCCUCUUUGGAUUUUGUUACACUAGAUGGGCUAAAUAGCCAUUCCACCCUCUUCCCUUCCUCAUUUCCUUAUUCUCACCCUCUCCCUACACCUUCUAGAGAGAGAAGAAGAAGGAGGAGGAGAAGAAGAAGAGGAGGAGCUUGCUUGAGGAGGCUUGGAGCUUCAACCCUUUCCCUCCUUUCCACCCUUACAAGGCUUGGAGCUUGCUUGUAGGGCUUGGUGGUGGACCAAUCUUCAACCCUAGAAGAUUUGGAGCUUGCUUGGAGGCAUCUAGAGAUGUUAGUACCUUGAUUCUAACCUUUGAUUCUUAUUUUGGUAGAUUUUACCUUAUGGAACCCUAGAGUGAGAUUUUAGGGUUGAUUUUGGGGCUUUUUGAAUCUAGUGCUUUUGGAGCUAGAUUGAUUGGAUUAGAACCUUCCUCUAGGCUAGUUUGGAAGGGUUCUAGCUCUCUUUUGGAGUUUGAGAGAGAUUUUCCACACUUUAGGUGAGUUUUAGCCCUUUUGCUAAAUUUGUUAAAGUUUGGUCUUAUAGUUGAUCGUAAUGCCGUGUAUCUCUUCGCUCAAUACUUUUAGGGUAUUUUGAGACUCGUGGACAACUUCGUUCGGCGAAACGAGGCACUACGCGACGGUUCGGUGGGUUUGACCUAGCCACACAAUGAGAAAAUCUCAUUUGAGUUGAUUUGAGUACUGUUAAAUAUUUAUUCAUGCAUUUCCAUGCUAGAUAUAUUUAUUAUGAUUUUUAGAAGGUUUAAAAUGCCUAUGUUACAUGUGGUGAAAUUUCGGACCUCUAUGUAGUAACGAGUUGCUUAAGAGAUCUAUGGUUGUAUUUAGCAUUCUAUAUGAGACUUGGUUUCAUGCUUCUAUAGUGUAAAUGAGUAUUGACACAUGCAUUUAAACUUAAGCUUAUUUGAGACAUGAAAGAUGACAAAAUUGCCAUAUAGAGGUAUCGAACUAGAGUGUAUGUGAAUUAGAGAGCUAAUGCUAUCAAGCGGCAUUGAGCUCGGGACAUGUGUGAACCUAGUGGUUAGGGCCUUUGAGGGAUUUGGAUUACGUUGAACAUUAAAUUAUCUAAGUGUCAUCAAGGGGCACUAGGCGUAGUGAAUGUUGGAACUUCACCUUGUAACUUAAACUAGAUCUUCGAGAUGCUAGUGACGAUACCGUGUUAGAGACAUGAGGAUUGGAUACUUGAGGCUUAGACUAUACUUGCUUGCCAUUUGUGCUCAUUCGCACAUGCUUGUGAGGAUCGCUCCCCACAAGCCGGCACUCUGGAGUUAGCCUACGCGACUUAUGUUCGCUCGUGCGGUAUUGAGAAGCCUACAGGGUCGAGUGGGACAGACAAAUCCCAAGAGUAGGGAUGUUGGGCUACCACAGGCACUUAGGCGGCACAAGCUGGACUACCUUUGGUAGGUCCUUAAUUGGAAAUGGAAAUCGACACAGUGUUGAAAAUGAAUAAUCGCUACUAGAUAGGCUUAGUAGUUGGAUUACUUGACAUGCUCAUGACAUAGCAUUAGGAUAUAUAGUACACUUGCCUGUUUCAUUCAUUGCAUCAUAGUAUACUGGGAUGUUUUGAUAGAGCUUACUCCUUAUGCAUUGACAUAUUGCAUCGUGAGGUUACUUGUUUAUUAUGUUGAGGCAUAUUAGUAUGCAUUGGACACAUUAUCUUAUGAUAGCGUAGAUGUACAACACCAUAACAUCAUGCUUACUUGAGCCAUAGUAGUAUAGCAUUUCAUGUAUGCUUUCUUUCCGCAGUUUUUAUACUCGCUCUUUAUUGCUUAUUAUUAUCGUCGUUACUUACCAUUUUCUUUUGGGGCCUAGUGGUGCUUUGAGCUGAGGUCAGUAAUUGCCUACUGGGAACUAUAAAUUAUAGUUCUCACGCCCUCUGUUUUAUGUUUUCAUUCAGAACCUUCCACGCCGGGAGAGGCUAGGGACCGAGGGAAGGGCAUGGCUUCGAGCUAGCUCUUCAGCGAGUGACGAGUCGCUAGGUGGUCUACCUCUCGAUGUUUUAUUUUGGAGAGGUUGAGAGCUGUACCAGUGUACUAGAGACCACCCCUUUUGUGUACUUUUUGGACAGAUAUUGUAUUACCUUAUGUUUUACUUCUAUGGUUUAGUCGUGAUCUUUGUACUCUCUCUUUAUAGAUGAUAGAAUCAUACUUGCUCUGAUAUCCCUAGUUGUAGAUUAUUUCUUGCUUUUACUUCCGCUUUUAUUGUAGACGCCUUAUAUGUGUAGACAUAUGGCGGGUCUGGGCGCGCUACCGGGGGGGCCCUCCGCCGGUCCCGGGGCGUGACAGUUUUUCCAGUUGACAACCCUCACACACAAUAUUCUCUUUGAAGUUUAUCUUAGGUACACCUCUAACUACCUCCUUCUUUGUUAUUCUAGAUAGUUUCUUAAAGUUCAUGUGAGCUAGUCGUUCAUGCCAUAAAGUUUCAGUGUCUGAUGUCGCUAGGUUAUAAUGUUCAGUUGAAGCACUAGGAACUACAUAACAAUUGUUCUGUGACCUAACUCCUUUUAAAAAGAAAGAAUUAUCAUCAAGAAUCACAGUGCAUUCUGUAGCAAAAAAUUUAACAGAGUACCCGUCAUCACACAGUUGACUUAUGCUUAUAAGAUUUGAUUUAAGCCCUUCUACAUAAAAGAUAUCAUUCAAAGUAGGGCCAUCGGAGAUAGUGACUGUUUCAUUUCCAAUAAUUUUAGAUGACCGACCAUCUUCGAAGACAACAAAUCCUCCGAAAAUUUUGUUUAAAGAUGUAAAACAGUUUUUAUCGCCGGUCAUGUGACGAGAACAACCACUAUCUAAAUACCAAGAAAAAUUACAUAAGCAUGAAGUGAAGUGUGUAUGACAAGGCAAGGAAAGAUUUUACCUUUGCGCACCCAAACCUUAAGCGUUUUGGGUAGCGUCGGCCGACUUGAUUGAGACUUUUGACGCUUGUCGACGAUUUGUCCAAUGCUCUUCUUUGGGAUCAUCCUUCUUUGGUUUCCAUGUUCGCUUUGCAUUCAUUUUCAGAUCUUCUUUCUUCAAUUACUCAAGUGGCCUCCGUUUCAUAGGUGUCGUGGUACUCUUCGGUUUUUGUUUGCAGUAUCUUUUCACAUGUCCUACAACACCACAUAAAUGACAAAUUUAGUUAGCAAAAGAAUUUUUAUGAGGGAUAAACUUAUCAUAAACCUCAUGUGCCGGUUUCGUUAAAUGUUCGUCCACUUUCUUCAUCACUUGAUCGACAUAAGUCCUUUUGUAUCCAAGUCCGAAUUUAUUUGUUUGACCAAGUCCUAACAUUUUGUCAAGUUUGCUAGAGCUAGACGAAAUCUAUUUAAAUCCGAUUUGAGUUGAAUAAUUGUCUUGGUGAAUUCCAUGUUAGAUUCUCUAGCUUCCGUGUAUUGCUUGGUAAGGAAAUUGAUAUUCUCUACAUAUGAUUCCUUCUCCUUCUCAAGCAAUGUACACUUAUCUAAUAAAGAGAUAUAGGACUUGUUCAAACCGUCUUUUUCUUGCUCAAAACUUUUCGUCAAAAUUUCCAAUGUCGUGUUCUCUUCUUCCAACUCGAGCAAUCUUCGCCACAACUUCUUGUUGUGCUUCGCCAUCUUCUUUGAUUCAACAACAAGUUGAUGAUAUGCGGCGACCAUAUCAUCUUCCUUCGACUCUUCAUCCGAUGAGUUGCUCUCCGAAGUAGAUUUUUCAUGCAAAGGAGACAAAGAAAUAGAGUCAGUAGAAGCUAAACACAUAAAAAAAGAAUCAUGUGCAAUAAGUGCAGUGACAUUUAUAUCUUCAUCAAUUGAGGUUGACUCAUCAGAAGAUGAAUCAUCCCAAGUAAUGGCUUGCAUCGCUUUCUUUUUCAAAGAUUUUUUAUUAGGACAAUCUGAUGCAAUAUGACCAAAUCCUCUACACUUAUAGCAUUGGAUUUGUUCUUUAAUAUUUUCUUUUCUUUUGAAAAAUCUUUUGAUGAAUUUUUAGAUUUUUUAAACUUAGAUGAACUACUCCCUUUUGACUUGUGUUGCUUGGAGGAGGUUGCCUUGGAUGAUAGUUUCUUUCUAAAGUUCCAACGGAACUUUCUCGUUAAAAGCGCCAGUUGCUUCUCGAACUCCUCCAAGGUUACGUCUGAGUCCGAAUCUGAAGAUGAUGACUCCAACUCGUCUCCUUUUGUUGUUUUUAGAGCCAUACCUGAAGCUUUAGAAGACAACUUGGAAGAAGAUUAAUUAGGAGGAAAAAUCAUUUCAUAAGUUUGAAGUGCACCAACUAAUUCUUCUACUUUUAAUUCGUAAGGAUGUUUUACCGUUUCUAUGGCAGCAACCUUUGGACGAAAUCGUUCGGGAAGGGUUCUUAAAAUUUUUCGAACAAAUUUAGAUUCAGAAAUCUUUUCUCCCAAGUUAGCACAUGUAUUCACAAUAUCUUGAAGACGAGUAUAAUACUGGAAAAGGUUUCAUGUUCUUCCAUGUGGAUUGAAUCAAAUCUACUAAUUAGCAUUUGCAAUUUUUGAACCUUUACCAAGCUUGUACCCUCAUGCGUAACUUGUAAAUUGUCCCAAAUUUAUUUGGCGAUUUCACACGCCGAAACUCAUGAAAAUUUAGUUUGAUUUAAAACAUUGAACAAAGCAUUAAUACCCUUUCCAUUAAACGAUAAUAAUUUAUUUUCUUCCUUCGUCCAUUUAUUUCUAGGUUUAGGGACGGUAGAAUUAUCGACAACUUUAUUAGGAUGUUUCCAUCCAAAUUUAAUCGAUUGCCAUACCCGCUCGUCAAUAGCAAUAAGAAACACUUUCAUACGAACUUUCCAAUAAGCAUAAUUAGCACCAUCAAAGAGUGGGGGUCGAUUAAUGUUACCACCCUCGGCCAUAGUUUACAACCUAUACCCGCUCUGAUACCACUUGUGAGAUAUGGAUCCCGAAGAUCUAAAAGGUAAAUAACACCUAGAGGGGGGUGUUUAGGUGUAAACAACAAAACAUAGAUCUCAAUGCAAAUUUAAACUAAAAGCGAAAAAAUAAAUUCAGCACACCGAGAUUUUACGUGGGAAAACUCUAACUCGGAGUAAAAAACCCACGGGACCGAUCACACGAAACAAUCCACUAUGAAUAAAAUUGAGUACAAGUGAUUUACCAAAAACACGACCCAACUUUUACCGAAUCCUCGUCGUAGAUCGUCUUCGCCGGUCCUCGAUCGAUCAAACUCCUCCAAUCGACCACACUGCAAAUCCUCACAGCCACAACACCUCGAAUGCACGAUGCGUCCACCGAAUCCACGGCCUCACGCGAAGUCCUCGCGCCAACACUCCAUCCGGAGCUCAUAGAGAAUAAUAAUUUGUGGUGAUUCAAUCUCUUAGAAAGAUUAUAAGAUAUGAGGAGAAACCCUUUCAAUCCAUCACCGAUUCGAUUCUUAAAGAAAAAAAUGGAAUAGAAACCAAGAAUUGAAUCGACGAUCAAAAAAUAAAACUUGUUUUUAAAACAUUGAUCGAAAAUCUCCAAAGCAAGUUUUUAGGGUUUCAAAAAAUUUUUCUUUCUAAGCAUAUAUCAUAGGAUGCUCCUCAUAACUUAUUUAUAGGUUUAGAAGACUUAUAGAUAGAUUAGGAUUUUAAAAACAAAAUACGGUCUCAGGGGACCUCCUAAAGGGUCCGGACCUUGAAGGUCCGGUCCGUGAAGCCAGGGUCCGGAGCCUCUCUGCGUACCAAGAAAUAUAGGCUACGGGGUCCGAUCCCUAGCUCCAGGGUCCGGACCCUCGCUGCGUAAUAGGAAUUCCAACGUACGAGGUCCAGUCCCCUGUAUAAGGGUCCGGUCCCUCUAUACGUACACGCAGAAGGGAUCUACGGGGUUCGAACCCUCACUUAGGGUCCGGACCCUGAACCUCGAAAGGCUCAGUUUUGUCCAGAUUUUACAUUUAAAAACCUUAUAAGUCUUCGAACCUUUUAUCAAAAGUGUAGAAUUUCACCACGAAUCAUUAACACACAUACCUGAGAUAUCGAGCGUCACGAACGAGUCUUUUGAUCUUGAAACACGCAAUCAUCGCUUCUGUAACACACUGGACCUUUGCAAAUUGCGAGGUUCGAGUGUUUGGAUGUAUUUCGAGCUUUUCCACACUUUGUGGAGGGUUGUAGAAUGUUCUCCGACCUAAAAAGUUUGAAAACUGGAAUUCUGGACAAGUCCUGAGAGUUUUUACUCUCGGGGACCGGUCCCUGGAAGGAGAGACCAGUCCCCCAGUGAGCAGUGCUGUGGCAGCCCUGAGGCAACCGGUCCCUGGCGGGCGAGACCGGUCCCCGAGCGCGUCUACGCAGUGAGAGACCGGUCCCGCGCAGGGAGAGACCGGUUCCCGAACGAUGGUUUUUCAGGUUCGCAGCGAGAGACCGGUCCCUGCUGGGGAGAGACCGGUCCCUCUAGGCGAAAACUGCCCAGACCGGGCUGAUGCAAUAUUAGAUUUUUGAGGGACCUCCUGGGAUUUUGUUACUUUGGAUGGCCUAAAUAGCCCUUCCACCCUCUCUCUUUCUUAUUUCUCUCCUCACACUCCCUCCAUACCCUUGUUAGAGAGAGAAGAAGGAGGAGAAGAAGAAGGAGAAGGAGGGAAGAAGAAGAAGAUUGAGAGCUUUUAGAGGACUUGGAGCAUCUUCC